rnacentral:misc_RNA from 1 species
AAGAAGAAGGCAUGGAGGAAGAAGCGAAAGUAUGAGAUGGGAAGACAGUCUGCAAAUACAAAGUUGGUGCCUAAUGCUAAGACUGUUAGGAGGAUCAGGGUCCGAGGAGGCAAUGUGAAGUGGCGUGCUUUGAGGUUGGACACUGGAAAUUACUCUUGGGGUAGUGAAGCUGUUACUAGGAAGACCCGUUUAUUGGAUGUUGUCUACAAUGCCUCAAACAACGAGUUGGUUAGAACACAAACUCUAGUGAAGAGUGCUAUUGUGCAAGUUGAUGCAGCUCCAUUUAAACAGUGGUAUCUCCAGCACUAUGGUGUUGAAAUUGGUCGCAAGAAGAAGAGUGCUGCCAAGAAGGAAGGAGAGGAGGUUGCUGAGGCUGCUGCAGAGGAGAAGAAAAGUAACCAUGUCCAAAGAAAGCUGGAAAAACGUCAACAGGAUCGUAAGAUUGACGCACAUAUUGAAGAGCAAUUUGCUAGUGGUCGUCUUUUGGCGGCAAUCUCAUCACGACCUGGCCAAUGUGGUCGUGCUGAUGGUUACAUCUUGGAGGGCAAGGAACUGGAGUUUUACAUGAAGAAGCUACAGAAAAAGAAAGGGAAGGGUGCAAGUGGUGCUACUGCUUAAGAGUUGUAACUCAUCAUCAAAAGUUUUAUAUGAGAUUGCCUCUGUUAUUACUCUCCAUAGAAUGGGACUUAAGAACAUCCUUUAGCUAUUAUUAGAGUUCAGAUCAGGACUUAUCUUUUUUGUAAUGUGAUGUCACAUGAUUUUGACAGGUUCAUCUUUACAUCACUAAUGUUUUCUUCAGACUAAUAUCAUUAAGAUAAGUCU